AACGAACGCUGGCGGCAUGCCUAACACAUGCAAGUCGAACGAUCCCUUCGGGGAUAGUGGCGCACGGGUGCGUAACGCGUGGGAACCUGCCCUUAGGUUCGGAAUAACUCAGAGAAAUUUGAGCUAAUACCGGAUAAUGUCUUCGGACCAAAGAUUUAUCGCCUUUGGAUGGGCUCGCGUUGGAUUAGCUAGUUGGUGGGGUAAAGGCCUACCAAGGCGACGAUCCAUAGCUGGUCUGAGAGGAUGAUCAGCCACACUGGGACUGAGACACGGCCCAGACUCCUACGGGAGGCAGCAGUGGGGAAUAUUGGACAGUGGGCGAAAGCCUGAUCCAGCAAUGCCGCGUGAGUGAUGAAGGCCUUAGGGUUGUAAAGCUCUUUUACCCGGGAUGAUAAUGACAGUACCGGGAGAAUAAGCCCCGGCUAACUCCGUG
rnacentral:rRNA from 1 species